rnacentral:rRNA from 1 species
UACGAAGGGGGCUAGCGUUGCUCGGAAUCACUGGGCGUAAAGCGCGCGCAGGCGGCCUAUUAAGUCUGAUGUGAAAGCCCACGGCUCAACCGUGGAGGGCCAUUGGAAACUGGUAGGCUUGAGUGCAGGAGAGGAGAGCGGAAUUCCUGGUGUAGCGGUGAAAUGCGUAGAUAUCAGGAGGAACACCGGUGGUGUAGACGGCUUUCUGGACCGUAACUGACGCUGAGACACGAAAGCGUGGGUAGCAAACAGG